rnacentral:rRNA from 1 species
CUCAGGAUGAACGCUAGCGGCAGGCUUAACACAUGCAAGUCGAGGGGCAGCAAGGAUUGUGCUUGCACAAUCUGUUGGCGACCGGCGCACGGGUGCGUAACGCGUAUGCAACCUACCUUUAACAGGGGGAUAACACUGAGAAAUUGGUACUAAUACCCCAUAAUACUUUGAAAGGCAUCUUUCGGAGUUGAAAGUUCCGGCGGUUAGAGAUGGGCAUGCGUUGUAUUAGCUAGAUGGUGAGGUAACGGCUCACCAUGGCGACGAUACAUAGGGGGACUGAGAGGUUAACCCCCCACAUUGGUACUGAGACACGGACCAAACUCCUACGGGAGGCAGCAGUGAGGAAUAUUGGUCAAUGGACGCAAGUCUGAACCAGCCAUGCCGCGUGCAGGAUGACGGCUCUAUGAGUUGUAAACUGCUUUUGUAUUAGGGUAAACCUUAGUACGUGUACUAAGCUGAAAGUAUAAUACGAAUAAGGAUCGGCUAACUCCGUG